CGGCAGCACGGGAGCUUGCUUCUGGUGGCGAGUGGCGAAUGGGUGAGUAAUGUAUCGGAACGUACCCAGUCGUGGGGGAUAACUCUCCGAAAGGAGAGCUAAUACCGCAUACGUCCUGAGGGGGAAAGCGGGGGACCUAAGGGUAACUGAGGGCCUCGCGCGAUUGGAGCGGCCGAUAUCGGAUUAGCUAGUUGGCGGGGUAAAGGCCCACCAAGGCGACGAUCCGUAGCGGGUCUGAGAGGACGACCCGCCACACUGGAACUGAGACACGGUCCAGACUCCUACGGGAGGCAGCAGUGGGGAAUUUUGGACAAUGGGGGCAACCCUGAUCCAGCCAUUCCGCGUGAGUGAAGAAGGCCUUCGGGUUGUAAAGCUCUUUCAGCAGGAGCGAAACGGUCGUUUUUAAUACAGACGGCUAAUGACGGUACCUGCAGAAGAAGCACCGGCUAACUACGUGCCAGCAGCCGCGGUAAUACGUAGGGUGCGAGCGUUAAUCGGAAUUACUGGGCGUAAAGCGUGCGCAGGCGGCGACAUAAGACAGAUGUGAAAUCCCCGGGCUCAACCUGGGAACUGCGUUUGUGACUGUGUUGCUAGAGUGUAGCAGAGGGGGGUGGAAUUCCACGUGUAGCAGUGAAAUGCGUAGAUAUGUGGAGGAACACCGAUGGCGAAGGCAGCCCCCUGGGUUAACACUGACGCUCAUGCACGAAAGCGUGGGGAGCAAACAGGAUUAGAUACCCUGGUAGUCCAC
rnacentral:rRNA from 1 species